CUAGUAACGGCGAGUGAAGAGGGAUUAGCCCAAAUUUGUAAUCUGGCUCUUUCAGAGUCUGAGUUGUAAUUUUGAGAACUGUUUUCUGCUCUGGACCAUGUACAAGUCUGUUGAAAUGCAGCAUCAUUGAGGGUGAGAAUCCUGUUCAUGAUAUGGACUACCAGAGCUUUAUGAUACAGUCUCUAAGAGUCGAGUUGUUUGGGAAUGCAGCUCAAAGUGGGUGGUAAAUUCCAUCUAAGGCUAAAUAUUGGUGAGAGACCGAUAGCAAACAAGUACCGUGAGGGAAAGAUGAAAAGAACUUUGGAAAGAGAGUUAACAGUACGUGAAAUUGUUAAAAGGGAAACAGUUGAAGUUAGACUUGUUGUUGUCAGUUCAGCCCUUUUAGGGUGUUUUCUGAUGAUUAACAAACCAACAUCAAUUUUUGGGUGUUGGAUAAGGGUCUUGGAAAUGUAGCAGUCUUGGCUGUGUUAUAGUCCUUGACUUGGAUACAAUGCUUGGGAUUGAGGAAUGCAGUAAGCCAAUUAUUUGGUGGGACAAUUUAUUGUUCUUCUUACUGAGGAUGUUGGUGCAAUAGCUUUAAUUGACCCGUCUUGAAACACGGACCAAGGAGUCUAACAUGCUUGCGAGUAUUUGGGUGUUGAAACCCUCAUGCGUAAUGAAAGUAAAUGUAAAUGGGAUCUGUUAAAAGUGCACCAUUGACCAGUCCUGAUUAUUUAUAUGAANGUACUGAGUAAGAGCAAGUAUGUUGGGACCCGAAAGAUGGUGAACUAUGCCUGANUAGGGUGAAGCCAGAGGAAA
rnacentral:rRNA from 1 species